rnacentral:snoRNA from 2 species
AUGAGCUGAGCGGGCAGCACCCGAGACGUGACGAGACCAUCUCAGGGCGA